rnacentral:rRNA from 1 species
UGGGAACGUGCCCAAAGGUACGGAACAACUCCGGGAAACUGGAGCUAAUACCGUAUGUGCCCGGAAAAGGGGAAAGAUUCAUCGCCUUUGGAUCGGCCCGCGUCUGA